AGGGCUUGGGGGUGAUGCAGGCACAGCAGAUGGCCGAGGCAGGACACUGCAGAGGAAGAUAAUGAAGAGAUCUCUAGGCAGGAAAUCCACAGCUCCUCCUGCACCCAGAAUGGGAAGGAAAGAAGGCCAAGGGAAUUCAGAUUCUGACCAGCCAGGCCCUAAGAAAAAAUUUAAAGCUCCCCAGAGCAAGGCCUUGGCAGCCAGCUUUUCAGAGGGAAAAGAAGUUAGAACAGUGCCAAAGAACCUGGGCCUAUCAGCGUGUAAGGGGGCCUGCCCCUCAUCUGCGAAAGAAGAGCCCAGACACCGGGAACCCCUGACCCAGGAGGCUGGAAGUGUCCCCCUUGAGGACGAAGCCUCCAGUGACCUGGACCUGGAGCAACUCAUGGAAGAUGUUGGGAGAGAGCUGGGGCAGAGCGGGGAGCUGCAGCACAGCAACAGUGAUGGCGAGGACUUCCCCGUGGCGCUGUUUGGGAAGUAGCUGGUGCUCCUCUGCUCCCUCUUUUUCUCCCUUCUCUGGGGCGCAGGAGGGAGAAGUUGCUAAGUGCUGGGUCUGUUCAUUGGCUAUGAGGUUCAAAUGUGUGUGGUGCAGUUUCUGUGUUAAUAAAGCAGGUUACGGUCGACUGGCUUGGCUGGUCUCUAACUGCCCCCUGUUGGCUGCUCUCCCUC
rnacentral:sRNA from 1 species